UUUUUUUUUUUUUUGGGAUUUAAUUAAAGUUUCUAGGUUAUCUCAAGCUUUGGUUUCAUGUUUAGUCUCUAUUUAUUUUGUAUUUUAGUUUGACCGAAUCUUCUUUAAUAGUAGCAUCUUGAUUUUUGAGGGGUUUUAUUUGAUUAUUUGUUUGGUUGCAGACCCCAGCUUCUUUUCCAAUUUCCUCCUUUAGUAACCCACGGAUUAUUUUCUGCUUUUUGUUAUGCACAGCGAAAGACCAAAUCUAUAUAGUUUAGAAGUUGUCUGCAAAUCCCAGCAAUAGCAAAGUGAAAAGGUAGAGCUAUUUAAGAUAGAAAUUAUGAGAAAAUUUUACUAAUGAUAGAAGAUUUUCUGUUGUGAUUAUUUAAUGCAAAUUGUUGGUAUGGGUUGCAGGGAAAAGAAAGCUAUGAGUAAUGGACAUAGACAUGAGUUAUUAAAACACUAAACAAUUGUAUCUUUUUGGUGGUUUGCUAUUGUACUUGCUACAUGCAAUGAGAAUUACUAUAGUUCACAAUCGAAUGAGUUUUACCAUAGUUAACAAAUGAGUUUCUUUUGGAACAUCUGACUCCUCCUGCCAACAGUUUGAAGCCAUGUCAUAUCAUGUACAACAAUGAAGAUGACAAUGGGAGAGAUAUUUUCCAAAGAUUAUAUUGAAAUUUUAUUGUUUAAUAGAUUGUGCUGAUUUUUUUUUCGACCCAAUUCUUUUUAUGUAAAUAAUUAUAUUAGAGGGUACUUGUGUCUGUUUUGUAUUCUAUAUUUGAUUGAAUUGUAGUUUAGAUGAAUCUUUGGGUUUGGAACAGGAUAUGGAGUUCAUACAUAACCCAUUUUGGUCCUUAAUUGUAUUGUGGAAAAAUUUAUUGCAGAGAGAUGAUUAGAGUCAAAAUAAUUAUGCUGCUA